rnacentral:lncRNA from 1 species
UGAUGGAGCAGAUUACUCAUUGGCUUCUAAACUUCACCUUGAAUGGAGAAAAUAAUGAGUCUGGACAGAGUCCUGGACAUAAAAGAUGGCAAAAGAUGGUUGCACAGCAGAAUUGGUUAUUUUUGGAAGGAAACCUAUUCUCUGCUUUCUGAUUUACACUGGAACAGAGAGAAAAAGAAAGAAAGUCUUCAUACUCUACAGCUGUGGACUUGCAGUUCUUGGAAUGUGUAAUCUUCCAUAAAGGAAGAUUAUUGAGAAGAACUUGAUAUUACAGGUCUUCUGCUGAGCCUAUUUCUUUCUUCUAUGAAGACAGUGCUGACACCCGUCAAGAUUUGAGAGGUAAGAUACUUUUUGAUAUUUUUUUACUCUCUGACAGAUGGUGUAGUUUGUUGUC